GCCCUGUUUUGGUACCUGGACUCACCUCUCAGCAGGAGCCCGCACGCCUGUGUUACACAAGGGGUGUGGUCACCAGCCGCAGCUCCUGCUGGGCCUCCACAGAGGUGCCAGCCCUGCCUGAGCUCUCCUGAUGACCCACGAGGCCGGCCGCCCACACCUGUGUUUGCCGGGGGCACGAUGGCCAGGAGCUCACUAUAAGGGAAGAGUGAGUGGGCACAGCAGGCAUCUGCUUUAGUGGCAGGGGGAAUGGGCUACACCAUAGGACAUCCUUGGACUUACUGAAUCUCCUGGUCUGAGCCCCAGGGAUUCAUAUGGGAGAAACAGAAGUGCCGUGAGGACAUGGGAGAAUGUGGAAGAUGCUGCUGAACGCAGAGACUCUUAACACGAAAUGUAGGAAGAGGCAUUGCCUGCACUUUGUGGAAAACCUCACCGCCCAGUGCUUUGGCAGAGGUGGCCUGGUACCCCAGGAGAGAGCAGGCACAAAGGCAGGGUCUGUGUGAGACCCUGGAGCCCAGCAACCCUGGGUCUGUUCACUGCACCUGUGCUUGGCAGAGAAGGCCAGGCCCAGAGGGCACUGCAGUCAUCGGAGAAACACCAGCAAGGACCAGUGGGCUCGGGCACACCCACAGGGACAGCAGCACGCCCCAGAGGAGGCUGAUGUCAUGAGGUGCCAGCCAGACCUGCUGGAGAGCCCUGGGAGCCGUCCUGGGAAAGGCCCUAAAUGUGACGGGGAUGAGGACUCUCCUGCACUGGCUAAUAGAGGCAGAGAAGAAAAGAAACAUGUUUGCGAAGUGGUGCAUAUGCCACCACAGUCCUGGGGGAACCCGAGUCAACUCCAAGACUGUCGCCCAUCUGUGCAUUCCUUGAUUCAUCAAAUACACGUUGAUCAUCACCAUGUGCCAGGCACUGUUCUGUGCCCUGGGCUUUGGAAGUGAACAGGACAAACGAGGUCCUUUCUGUGUAGAAAUGCAUCCCGAGGAUGGAAGCAGACAACCAGCAAGUGAAUUGAGACGCAUCCCAUUGCUUGCUGAAGUUUGCCCAUCUUGCCAAGGGCCAUCCUUAAUGCAGACAAUGGAAGAAGUCUUGGGAAGAAAGACUAAAGAGGAGAAGGUUUUGCCUGCUCACCGCCUCCACCCGCCACCCCACUCCUCCACCCAGCCUCAUGCCAGCCCCAUCGAGGUACCGUGGGGAGCAGGUGCUCCCUAGCAAUGGGAGUGGAGACCCCAGCUGGAGGCAGAACAGAGAACGGCUGGGGCCAUGAAGUCUCCCUACCUCUCAGGGGAUGGCAGAGGUUUCCAGAGAGCCACGUGGGAGAGCCACCAAGGCAGGGAGCUCUGCCAAGACAGAGGGUGUGUUCAGCUUGAGCCUGGGGCCCUGGAGUUGGGUGAGAGCUUCACAGAGCUGAUGUUUAUUGAUGCCGUUUUCUGUUAACUAAGUUAAACCUCUCUCUGAAGCAGUGCUGGCAGGCAGAGCUGCCUGGGGGGGCAAGGGGGUUGAGAGGGGGCGUCUAUUUUCCCAGGUGCUGGGUGGGGUUCAAGCCAAGGGAAGUGAAAUACAAUCCCCCCAAGUGUGAAACUCCCCUAAAAGUAACCUUGCCCUUCAUGCCAGAGGCCUCCCUCUCUGUCACCAGGGCUGCACUUGGAUUUCAGCACACGUGCUUCCAUUCAGUGCUUUGUCCAUGAAAUUCCACACAGAAAAACAAAACCAAGCCAUAAUGAUUUUGAUUGGAAAUUACUGCUCUCUAACAUAAAGCAUAUUUAAUGUCAUUAAAUUUUGUGGAUUAUAACUCCCUAGUGAAGAACACAGCAGUCAGGCUGCACAGCAGCCCCGUGUUCAGAAAAUGGCAAUUUAGUGAUUUUAGAGCCACAUGAUUUAUCUAGGAGAUCAGAAAUGUAAUCAAAAUGACAUCAACGAAAACCUGAUUUGCUGGUUUUUAAUUACAGUUGGCCCUUUUUAGUUGGGAUCACAUAUUUACGAAUUCACCUUCUCUCUAAAAUCAACACCUGAGGUGCUUUUGAGGUUAUUCUCCCAUGCACCAAAAGCAGCAAGAACUUUGGGUCACCCCCAGCGUGCGCGUUGUUCCCCCCGAGAUCGGGCAGGCAGCACUCUGCCUUCUUUGAUGGCCCUCAAUACUGAAAACGUGUCCUUUUGGCAGUGCCAUUUUUGUUGUUGUUGUUGCAUUUUUGUGCUUUUUUGGUGAUUCCACUGCUUUAAAUGGCCCCUGAGUGUCAUACUGACAAGCUCCCAGGUGUUCCUAAGUGCAAGGCAAGGCGCCCACAGGGAACAUGCAUUGUUAGGCAAGCUGUGCGCAGGCAGGGCUGCAGUGCCCUUGGUGCCAGAGACACCAUUCAUGAAUCGACAACACGGUACAUCAAGGAAGUGGAAGCAGAAAUUUGCCAAUCUGUACAUGAGGUGGCCCUGGAAAGUACUGUAUUAGCAUUGCUAGUGUGGGAUGAAGCUAUGGAAAAGAUAGGAAGGGCUAAAUGUGUGGAUUCAUGAGAUGAGGACUGGUUGAAAAUAAACGGUAGGGACAAAAGCACUGUUGUGAGGCUGAAAGCCCAAUAAAUUUAUGAUCAUAUUACUCAGGGUCAGGAAAAUGCUAAACCCUUCUCAACUCAUGUUUUAUUAUCUAUUAUUAAUUAUUUUUAAGAAAUAUAUAUUCAGUAAGGUGUCUUUAAACAGAAACACACAUAAAACAGGGUGACUUAUCGAUCAGUGGAUACAAGUGUUGUGGCCAUGGGCUCACGGGGACUAACCCUGUGUUUUCCCUGAAAGCGAUGGCCAGUAUUUGCUAAUUCCAUGUUUGUGGUGACUUUAGAGAACAUAACUACCGUGAGUAAUAAGAAUCGGCCAAACAGUUGGCCCUCGGUGCCCACAGGUUCCACACUCAUGAAUUCAACCAACCAAGGAUGGAAAAUAUUAAAAAAAAAUUAAAGUAAUAUAAUAAAACUAAACACAAAUUAAAACCAAUACAGCAUAACAACUGUUUGCAUGAUAUUUACAUUGCAUUAGGUACUACAAGUACUCUAGAGAUCAUUUAAAGUCUAUGGAAGGUUGUGCAUAGGUCAUAUGCAAAUAUCAUACCAUUUUAUAUCAGAGACUUGAGCAUCCUCAAAUUUUGAUAUCCGCAAGGGAUUCUGGAACCAAUCCUUGCUGAUACCAAGGGAUGACUGUAAUUUUUUUUUAUUACAAAAGUGAUACAUGAGGAAAACUUAAAGGAUGAAAGUCACAAAGGAAAAAGUCAUCUGCUGUCUCAUCUCCUAGAGAUAAGGACAAUGAAAAUUUUGGUUUAUGCUCUUUUUGCCUUUCUCUGAGCUUCCAGUGUUUGUGUAUAUACUUUGCACCAUUGGAACUUUCUAUUUUCUUCUUUUGAUGCUACCUUAAAAGCAAUGCCUUGUUCAAUAAACAUUCUCCUACCACCUGAUAGCUUUUUUAGUCAUAUAAUAUUCCAUCCUAUGUAUUUAUGCUGAUGCUUGU
rnacentral:lncRNA from 1 species